rnacentral:rRNA from 1 species
GACGAACGCUGGCGGCGUGCUUAACACAUGCAAGUCGAACGGAAAGGCCCUGGUUGCAGGGUACUCGAGUGGCGAACGGGGGAGUAACACGUGGGUGAUCUGCCCUGCAAUUCGGGAUAAGACUGGGAAACUGGGUCUAAUACCGGAUAGGAGCCAUUUUUAGUGUGAUGGUUGGAAAGUUUUUUCGGUGUAGGAUGAGCUCGCGGCCUAUCAGCUUGUUGGUGGGGUAAUGGCCUACCAAGGCGGCGACGGGUAGCCGGGCUGAGGGGGUGGACGGCCACAUUGAAACUGAGAGACUGCCCACACGCCUCCAUGAGACAGCAGGUGAGAAUAUUUCACAAUGGGCGCAAGCCUGAUGCAGCGACUCCGCUUGGGGGAUGACGGCCUUCGGGUUGGAAACUCCUUUCGCUAGGGACGAAUCUUUUUGUAACGGUACCUAGAUAAGAAGCACCGGCUAACUACGUG